UGGCCGGAUACAGGGUUGGAGGUGGCGCGGCAGCCGGUUUCGAGGCAGGUGCGGCGCGGCGCUGGACGUGGGUGGUGGGGGUGGUGUAAGGUGGACAAGGGAGUGGUUGGACGAGGGGGCUCUGCUUCUUCUUUUUAGUUCAAGAACAUCCCUUCUGCUCCUAUAUAGACGCUCUGUGAUCCAAAUAAUUAUUCUAAUCCUGAGAUUAGAAUAGUGUCAGUCUCUCUAUAUAUAGGAUAGCACUAUUCUAAUUCUAGGUUCAGAAUAACUAUUCGGAUCACAGCGCGGCCUAUACAGGGGAUCGAACGUUCCCGAGAUCCCGCACCCCCGAAACGUUAAAAGGAAAAAGAAAAAACACCAGUCCCGCACCUCCCUCGCUCUCCCUCGAUCCCCCCCGCCGCCGCCACCCCAGGAUCCGCCUCCGCCCCGCUGUUACCGCCCCAAGAUCGAGCCGUCGCCACGCCAUCGCCCAUGGAUCCGGUCGCAGCCCUGUCAUCGCCCACGAAUCCGGCCACCGCCGCGUCAUCGCCCAUGGAUCCGGCCACCGUUGCACCAUCGCCCACCUUCCUCCUCCGGCUAGGCGCACACACGAAGCGCCCUCUUAGCUAGCACGCCCCACAGCCUCCACCUCCCUUCCCCAGUAGCACCCGCCUUCGCGACGCGCUGCCGGCCACAUCUUCCUUCGCAUUAGCACGCGCCCCGCCGCCCAGCAUCCCGACGCAACAUGCGGUGAUACACCGACCUGCGGCCCUGCGCUUCGCCAUGGGCGCACCUGCACCUGCUUCCUCAAGCGUGAGCCCCCGUGGCAACCCCCACCCGCCGCCACACUAGCUACCCUAUUGAGUCCCUGCCCAACAGUGGCACGAGCUGCUGUGUAAUUUUCUGCAUUCCCACUACAGAAGACAGAGGAGAACGGCUGCUCGGAUUUUGUCUGAACUUCCUUGUUCUUCACUGUGGCGAUACCUGCUCAGCUUUCCCUCUCUGAACUCCUGCAAAACAAGUAUGUGUGAUGCUAGCUAGAAGAAGAAUUUAGUAAAAAAAAAAAGAGUGUUGCAUGUUUGCUAAUUGUAGUUUCUACCUGAAGCUGCACGUUUCCAGCAAAACAUGCUUGUGUGCAUGUUCAGAUGCUCCUUGCCUUUCAUUUUGAUCUUUAGUUUUCUGAACUGAAUUGGACUGGCUUGUGUCAUCUUCUUCCUAAUUUUCCCAUGUGAAAUUGUAUGAAAAUGAAGGAAUUGUCUAGGUGGACGAGCAGUUCAACUUCAUUUCUCACUGCAGAUACUUUGAUUUUUAUUUUCAAGUAUUAAUUCUCUUGGAUAGUUCAAAAUAUGAUGCAUCUGCUUGAAUCAUACACCACCUCGAAAAGAAUGCCCUGAAAAAGAAAGCAUGCAUAUUCCCAUCUUCCAAUGAGGAUUUCCAUUUAAAUAAUGAAGAAUGCAAAUUGCAGAUAUUUUGGGUUGAAUAACAACCUGCUAUUGCAGAUAUCGACCAUGGUUGAACCUAGGAAAUGGGUUAUUUGACUUCUUUUCCUUUUCCAGAACUGUACUAGUCGUCGUUACCUCUGCCAUGGUCGAAUUCUAGUUGUCUCUGCCGGUGAAGGUUUCUCGUUCAGUCAAGUGUCAACCUCAGCCUGCGGAUUGAUCUAAACUCAUCAGUUAUACUGCCUAUACAACAAAACAGGACAACAUUGCGAGGUGGAAGUGUGCAGCGUUGGAGGGCCCCUUCUUCUCCAUGGACGCGGGAAGGUCACCUGUGAUGAUCCGACAGGACAUGUUACAACUUUGCUGGCUACUGCUCGCGUCCAUUUUAGCUUGUAGCUGCUGCUAUCUGGAAGUAGCCUCUUAGUUCAAUGAUGCAACACUAGUUCCUGGUGUUAAAACAUUUUCUACCAGACCAUUUAUUCAAUUGAGAGAGAUAUGUUGAUUCUUUUGUA